UUUCAGUCUGUUUGUGUCGCAGCUUUUUUUUAUAUAUAUGAGAUUUGAUUUAAAAACUGUGGAUGUUUCCAAGAUGCGUAAUCCUGCACAGUUGCUCCAUUGUGCAGCAGCACCAAUAAAGAUCAACCCACAGGAUUUCCUUGGGGUGUCCUCCUUCAGAAUGAGGUCAUCGUGGUGGUUCCUCGUCAUCAGCCCAUGAGUAAAAACACACCUCUGGCACAGUGAGAGGU
rnacentral:lncRNA from 1 species